UCCCUGGUCGUCCAAUGGCUAAGACUCCACAGUCCCAAUGCAGGAGGCCCAGGUUCGAUCCCUGGUCAGGGAA
rnacentral:tRNA from 1 species